rnacentral:piRNA from 1 species
AAGAAAGACAGGCUGUCAGAUUGAGGG